rnacentral:rRNA from 1 species
UAGGGAAUAUUGGUAAUCUGGGAAACCGGGAACCAGCAACGCCGCGUGCGCGAAGAAGGCCUUCGGGUUGUAAAGCACUUUUUGAGAGGAUGAGGAAGGACGGUACUCUCAGAAUAAGUCUCGGCUAACUACGUGCCAGUAGCCGCGGUCACACGUAGGAGGCAAACGUUAUCCGGAUUUACUGGGCGUAAAGCGCGUGUAGGUGGUUCUGUAAGUAGGGCGUGAAAGCUCCUGGCUCAACUGGGAGAGGCCGUUCUAAACUACAGAACUAGAGGAUGGUAGAGGGAGGUGGAAUUCCAGGUGUAGCGGUGGAAUGCGCAGAUAGCUGGAGGAACACCAGUGGCGAAGGCGGCCUCCUGGACCAUUCCUGACACUCAGACGCGAAAGCUAGGGUAGCAAACA